UAGGGAAUCUUCUGCAAUGGACGAAAGUCUGACCGAGCAACGCCGCGUGAGUGAAGAAGGUUUUCGGAUCGUAAAACUCUGUUGUUAGAGAAGAACAAGGACGUUAGUAACUGAACGUCCCCUGACGGUAUCUAACCAGAAAGCCACGGCUAACUACGUGCCAGCAGCCGCGGUAAUACGUAGGUGGCAAGCGUUGUCCGGAUAUAUUGGGCGUAAAGCGAGCGCAGGCGGUUUCUUAAGUCUGAUGUGAAAGCCCCCGGCUCAACCGGGGAGGGUCAUUGGAAACUGGGAGACUUGAGUGCAGAAGAGGAGAGUGGAAUUCCAUGUGUAGCGGUGAAAUGCGGAGAUAUAUGGAGGAACACCAGUGGCGAAGGCGGCUCUCUGGUCUGUAACUGACGCUGAGGCUCGAAAGCGUGGGGAGCAAACAGG
rnacentral:rRNA from 1 species